GUCAACUUACGGCCUCACGCACGACACGGACGUCCACCAAACCAAUGCAACUUAGGAAACAAAUUAUGUCUUCUAUGAACGCAGCCACAAAUCAAAUUUUUUAAUUGUGAACUUCACAAACUGAUUGUGGCUGCGCCACAAAUCAAAUUUUUUAAUUGUGAACUUCACAAACUGAUUUGUGGCUGCGUUCACAAUGUGAACGCGUCAUUCCGGUCGUUCCCUUCAUUCGUUCGUUCUUCGUGAUUCGUCUUGCACAUUUACGCUCACUCCCACUUCUAUUUGUUUGUUAAUAAAAAAUUGUGUUGUGCGUACCUAUUUAAAUUUACUGAUUUGUUCGUAUUCUACUGGUGUUGUGCAUAUAUAUAUGUGGUGGCAACCACAUUACCAAAAUGCAGCCCUGACGAAUUUCCUUCAUUACUGACGUUUCCACUGUCCUUCGUGUCAGCGCCCGCUUUGUCUGUAAUGCAUACAGAAGAUGUCUUUCUUCUAUCUUUUACCCUUGCUAAGCACACACGUGUUUCAACGACUCGCGAAACUUAACCAAUUCCUAUAACCAAGUUGAGAAACGAAAUAAAUAAAAGUUUUAAAUUAACCACUCGACAUAAAAAGUUUUAUUUAAGUUUUGCAAUUAAGUAAUCGGCUUCAUAUAUAUUACAUGGAAUAUAACAAUAUGUUAUAAAUGCAUAUAAAUUAUAAAUGAAUAGAAUUAAAAAUGCCGCCAAAAAGUCGCUUCUGGGAAUUUUUUGAAAAACUUGAAAAUAACGAAGCCAAAUUAAUCUAAAAUUUUUAAAUUGAAUUUCAGCUUUUUAUAUUUUUAUAAGAUAUUUGACAAUCAUAUACUUACUUCCCCAUUAAACUGUGAAAUUUAAUAUUUUAUUUUUAAAGUUGUAAUAACAUUUAUUUAUAAUUUGUACUUCAUGUUUUUAAAGAUAUGAAUAAAUAAAUUCAUUUAAAAUGAAA